UACGGAGGAUGCAAGCGUUAUCCGGAAUGAUUGGGCGUAAAGCGUCCGCAGGUGGUAUUUCAAGUCUGCUGUCAAAGAGUUUGGCUCAACCAAAUAAGGGCAGUGGAGACUGAAAAACUAGAGUGCGAUAGGGGUAGAGGGAAUUCCUGGUGUAGCGGUGAAAUGCGUAGAGAUCAGGAAGAACACCGGUGGCGAAAGCGCUCUACUAGGUCGUUACUGACACUGAGGUGCGAAAGCGUGGGGAGCAAACAGG
rnacentral:rRNA from 1 species